UCAUAGCUGAAGAGCCUGAUGUGGGGCUCGAUCCCACAACGCCGGGAUCACGCCCUGAGCCGAAGGCAGACGCUUAACCGCUGUGCCACCCAGGCGCCCCGAGAAUAUUAUUUUCUAAAAGCAAUGAGAAGAGGCAAUGAAACAUUAUGGAGCCAGAAAAGGACACAAAUACACUUGGGCAUCGUGUGUUCUGGGCCCUCUCUGCUCCUCCUUCUGUUCUGUAUUCCUUGGUGAUCCCACCCAGCUGACUCAUGGCUUAAAUACCAUCUGUACACUGGAGACUCUCAAAUUUAUAUCUCCAACCCAGACUUCUCUUCUGACCUCCAGACUGUGAUCUCUAGGCCCAACAUGGGGCUCGAGCUCAUGACCCCGGGAUCAAGAGUCACAUGCUCUACGGACUGAGCCAGCCAGGCAUCCCAAUCCACGGCUAAUUUAAUUGGUGAAAUAAUGUUGCAAAAUGAAUUCAUCCAGCAACCAUGUAUUGAAUUGUGACACUGGACGGGAGCCGCACUGUGUGGCACAGUAGCCACAGCCAUGUGUCGCGAUCAAGCACUUGAGAGAUAGCUAGGGCUGCAUUUUUAGCUUAUUUUUAAUUAAUUAAAAUCUAAGCACUGACUCUCAAAUCAGUUAUUGGAAAAGUUUUAGUAUGUUUGUAAUGAUUUGGGUAUGCAAAUCUACCUUUUCAACCCUAAGUUUUCUGAAAUGCAAAUAGGGUACAAGCAUUUACAAUAAAAAUUUAGCAUCCAUAUUGAGAUGUACUCUAAGUACAAAACACACUGGAUUUUGAAGACAGUGCAAAAAAGACUAAAAUAUUCUGUAAUAUUUUAAUAUUCAUUACAUUCUUAAAUGGUAACAUUUUUUUCUAUUUGGAGUUAAAUAAAAUAUAUUAUUAAAAUUAAUUUCCCCUGUUUUGUUUUAAAAUGUGGCUACUAGAAAAUUUCAAAUUUCGUAUGUGGCUUGCAUUAUAUUUCUAGUGGACAGCUCUGUCCUACGGACUAGUGGUAGAGUCAAAAAUGAUUUCGUCGACCCCUUGGGUUCAAGAAGCCUAUGACUUCGGGCCGCCUGGGUGGCGCAGUCCUUAAGCGUCUGCCUUUGGCUCAGGGCGUGAUCCUGGCAUUCCGGGGAUCAAGUCCCACAUCAGACUCCUCUGCUGGGAGCCUG